ensembl:rRNA 5S_rRNA 5S ribosomal RNA
ACCAGCAGCCAUAUCACUCUGCAGCUCACAACUGGCAACCCACUGAAGCUAAGCAGGUGUGAGCCUGGUCAGUACCUGGAUGGGAGACCUCCUGGGAAAAACUAAGGUUGCUGCAGGAA